UAAGAUGGGGCCUUUUAUAAAGGUGGUUGGAUUUAGGUGAGGACUUCUCACAAAUCCAAUUCCACUUCUUUUUGGAACGUGACCCUUGUUUGCAAGGAUCAUGUUCAAUGACUUGCUACCAACCUCGAAUUUCUUCAAGGUGUCAUUAAGUAGCAGGUUUUCUUUUUGGAGAGUUUCUAGAUCAUGACAUUUGAUACAUGAAUUUAAACUAUCAUGAUAUUCAAUUUUUAACUUAUCAAAAU
rnacentral:lncRNA from 1 species